UGGAGGUGGAGGAGGAAGUGUUAACAAUGUUGUUUUGGAUGAUUUUCAUUUCCCUUCUGAUUUAAUCUCCAUUCAAGACCGCAAAGAUGAGGCCAUGCUUGGUUUGCUUUUUUCUCCUUUUUUUGUUCCAUUUGAGAAUCUCUUCUUUUGUGAGGUUUAGCCAUCUGGGUUGUUAUAAUAUUGCAUAGUCUAUAUGAAUUUCGGAUUUUUUGGUAGCAGGUUUGGGCAUUUGUGUAGGAAAGAUUUUAUUUUUUUUGGCCAUUAAAAAAUUGAAUAUUUUUUGUGGGAUUUGGCUUGUUCUUAUGGAAAUUCGUUACCUGGGGUAUUUAUAUUUCUGCGUUUUCUGCGUUGGCCUGUGGACUUGGUGGCUAUUUUUGUGAUUGUUUGAUACUUCACAUUAUUUGUUUUCUCGUGUUUAGAUUGCUACUAUUAUCGUUAUAUAUCAUAUUUAUAAAGGCCCCAUUACUCUAGGAUUCUCUUCGGCAUGCUUCACAGAUUUUUUAUUUUUUCUCUAGUGUUUAGCAUACAUGUUACUGAGAUGUUGGUCUUAUUCAUAAAUUCAUUGUCCUGCUGCUAAGAAAAUAAGGUACAAUGCAUGAAAUUCAUGUUGGACAUAAAAUUCUGAAGUUUAUGUUGCUUGUUACGAAAUAUUGCCCCUUAUAUUUAUUUACUUUUUUAAGAAACAAAUCGAACUCAUCGACAGAAUUAGUUUAUGUUUCACACUUUGAUUAUUUAAAUAUAGGACUAAGCCAAUUGAUUCCAUUAGUUUUGGUCUUGUGGAGGAUUGAGAUUUAAUUUCUCGACUUCAAAAGACAUAAAGCUUACAUCUCUAAAUCGAUUUCCUUCAUCCAGCUGAUUUAUCCAUUUUAAUUAGCAUGUCUGUUAAUUUUCUUUGUUUCUUGGUAUACCUCUGUUUUUAGCGGCCCUCUAACCUAACUUGGAUAUAUGAAAAUUCAAGGACUUACUUUUUUGCAUUUGUUCUUCACCCAUUUUGGUUACAAAAUAAAACAAUAGAGAAAUAUAUUUUGGAACUUUAUUGUUUAUUCUUCUCUGUUAGCUCUUGUCUGACGAGUUCAUCCUGCUAAACAUAUGGCUUUCUUUCUCUCUAAGCUUCAAGCAUUCAAUGAAUUAUGUAGUGGAAGGUUGGCAGGGGCAUAGGGCUAGGGGCGAAGAGGGGGGAGUGCCUUCUGUUCUCUCUCUAAAACUGACCUUGGAAAGAAAAAAGGGAGGCCCCGCAUCCAAUUAGCGAAACACCCAUAGUUUUAACUACUAUAUCUAUUAUCUGAGUUAAUAGCAACACAUUGGAGUUAUUGCUGUUCAUAGAAGUCUUCUUAUUCUUCUAUUGCAGCGUUAAAAACUGAUCUGAUGGCUGCACUCAACAAGGAGGUUAAAUCAUUGGAUGACGAUAACUGGAAGUUUGAAGUACCUCGUUCUCAUAUCAACCUCAUGUCAAGGCCAGGUGAAAAACUAAGCAAGAAGCCGGAAAUAGCAACGCAUAAAAACCUGGCCUUGCCGAAAUGACAUGUGAUUCCGUGGGCAGGCUGCAUCUUGCAUUGAUUGACUUUUGGUACAUAUCUUUUACUUCGAUGAUAAAUAUUUCUUGUUUUAUUCUGGAGCUGCCGAUUUUGUGUUGUUUGCCCCGUGUUCUGAAAUGCUUCCAAGUAACUCUGUUGUCCAUACUACAAAUAAAUGGAAGGCAACUUGCAUUUCUUUAUUUUACAUUGAA